CCAGGCAAGGCCUACCAGUACGGGGGUGUGGUUGGCUAAUUAGUCCAAGACUUUUUAAGCAGGCACUGGGCAAGAGGCCUUGAAAUGUGGGCCUUGUUUUGAAAGCACAUGGGAUGGUGCUGCUUUGUUUGGCUAUGUGGUGAAUUUGCCCCAGAUGAGGUAGGCCAAGUUUAUUAUUUUUGUUUUGGUUGAAUUGUUUAUUUAAGGGGAUUUAUUUUGAUUGUAUGGGAAAAUUCUGUUUGUUUAUUUAGAUGCAGAUGAAUUGAGUAAUGCUAACUGGGUAUGUUGACCGCUGCCUGUGUAGGUAAAUAUAUGGGCUUUGCUUAGUUUUUUUAAAUGAGAUUGCAUGAAAGGUUUCAUUUGUAUUUCUCUUUGGAAAGGUGUUUUUGACACUCUGAUCUGGAUAAAUGUUCAAAAAACCAACUGAUUGUUAUAUCUGCUAUUUGCCAAUGAAGGUAAAUGUAUUUAAUAUUUUUAAAUAAAAAUGAGUGUACAGUUGGUAAACAUGGUUUUAAAUGUUUAGUGUUUUUGUAGUGUUUUAGAUGUGGAUAAAACCUGGAAUGCUGAUUGGCUGCUUUUUGGGUAGCUGAUAAAGUUGAGUCGAUUGCUGUUUCUCCCGUGUUGUUUUUGUUUAGUUCCCUGGUCGGCCGGUCUCAGAAGUGUGCUGCAUGGUGGCAGCAAGUGUACAUUGUGAACUGGUUGUGUACGAGUCCGGUUGGCUGGGGUUCUGUUAUCUUUUUCUUUUGUUUUUUUUAUUGAUGACCAUCUUCCCAGCCUUAUGUCAUUAGCUCAACUCAUUGUGAUUGUGUUCUGUGUGUGCAUCCCUUUGGGGUAUGGGAUCCAUGUUUGCUGUGGUUGUUUUUUGAGUUAUGAGUGAAGGGUUAGGUUUUUGAGUUGUUUUCUAUUUUGAAUUGUGGUGUUUAUUUCCAUUGAUUUUUGUCUUUUUCUUUUUACUGUCAUUAAAAAAUGGAUGUGUACUUGUACCUUAAAGGUUUGCCACACGUACCGUAACCAGCUACUAUGGAGAGUUUUUGAGCUGGUGGUUAACAUCUUUGAGAGCUGAGAUUAAUUUUGGAUGAGUUAUGUAAAUAAACCAUUUUAUUUC